UAAAGCGGUGAUCCAUCUAGAGACGCCACGCACAUAUCAGGAGGUCAUUCCCACCGCUUAGCAUUCUUUCCAUUAUUUUUCUUAUCUUCUCACCAUGGAUAAUCUCCUUUUUUUCUUUCCAGAACAGCACAUGUUGAUGGCUGCUCGGCCAGGCCGACCUCCCCCGCGGAUUCCUCGACGGGUGGAGAGCUGGUGCAAACCUCGCGCACGGCAUGGCUGUCCGCGCCGCGUCCGAGGGCGUGCUGCCAGACGGCAUCACCGUCCAUGGCCUCAUGGUCGUGCACCCGUAAUUUAUCGGGAAGGGGAUAGUGGGCACGCAGGUGGCCUUCGUCAUGGAGGUUUGGAGACCGGACCUUCAUGGACCUCACCUAAAGUUUCGUCUUCCUAGCCUCGCUGGGGCUGGACAAUCUGCUCAUAGACCCGUUCAUCAAGGACGAAGCGCGCCGCCCCGUCCAAGAUCCCGUUCGACCAUGUGCAUGGCGAGAUUCCCCGUCUCCCAUUCCAAGCAAAACCAUGUCUCCUCCCGCGCCGCUUGAUGUUCGUCAGCAAGAUCGAUGAGGGGCAUGCGGUCAAGAUCGAUGAGGGGCACGGGGUCUGGUGCGAGCCGAUGGUGCCCGCCGAUCUUGGACGGUGGCGACCUGCGGCCACUGACAAGAAUCACUGGGUUGUCCUCGACUCGCACGUGCGGUGCUGACCAUGGAUGCCAAUGACCUGUUUGAUCACAUCCGGCUACAAAGCAGCGGAGCCAUUGGUUGACGGCCUACAUUCUUCUUUUCUUUAUCUGCAAUGUUUACGGAAAGGAUGACAUGAAUGCAGAGUAAUUUAAAAUCGAGAUUCAGCUCGAGACUGUCUCCGCUUGGUGCACUCUUCCUGUUGAGAGAAAUAUAACAAAUAUUGGCAAAUCUGAGUAAAUAUGCAAUUCUCUUCAAGGCCGAGAGAGAAGGCAUGUCGAUUCAGAUUACUAUUGAUGAAAUCAUGUAGUUGUACAGUUUUAUUUCAGUAAAUGCACAUGCCUUUAUAUGUGGUUCUGAAAUUAUUAUUUUGUUAUUUCUUACUAUGUCUGAAUUAGAAAAAUAUUACUAAUUGGAUGAUGGAAGUGAUUUAUAUCACCCACCUCCCAAACUCUGUACCUAUCGACACUAUAUAAAAGAGACAGAGGUUUGUCUUCUCCAAA